GAGCCUUUGAUUGCGCCUGGUGGCCUGCA
rnacentral:sRNA from 1 species